rnacentral:tRNA from 1 species
AGAAAGAUAAGCUAAGCAUUUAAGCUAAUAGGUUCAUACCCUAUAUAUGGUAAUACCUCUUUCUA